rnacentral:rRNA from 1 species
UGGGGAAUAUUGCACAAUGGGGGAAACCCUGAUGCAGCGACGCCGCGUGAGGGAAGACGGUCUUCGGAUUGUAAACCUCUGUCUUUGGGGACGAAAAAGGGACGGUACCCAAGGAGGAAGCUCCGGCUAACUACGUGCCAGCAGCCGCGGUAAUACGUAGGGAGCGAGCGUUGUCCGGAAUUACUGGGUGUAAAGGGAGCGUAGGCGGGAAGGCAAGUUGGAUGUGAAAACUGUGGGCUCAACCGACAGACUGCAUUCAAAACUGUUUUUCUUGAGUGAAGUAGAGGCAAGCGGAAUUCCUAGUGUAGCGGUGAAAUGCGUAGAUAUUAGGAGGAACACCAGUGGCGAAGGCGGCUUGCUGGGCUUUUACUGACGCUGAGGCUCGAAAGUGUGGGGAGCAAACAGGAUUAGAUACC